rnacentral:lncRNA from 1 species
UGUGAUUGAGGUCAAUUGAUGGUGGUGGUUGUGCGAUGCAGAUGUUCGGGAUGGUGGAGAAGGAGAUGGAGUACCGGGUCGAGCUUUUCAACCGGUGAGUGAUGAGCCUUCUAGCUGUUGUACUACCACCAGUCCACCACCUGGGUGAGGCUUGUGAGAUCAGAUCGCUUGUGAGAUCAGAUCGCUGGUUGAUGCAAUGAAUUGUGGUUAUUGCAGGCAAAUUUGGGGCUGAGGAAAGAAGACGAGGAGCAACUUCUCUCUAGUCUGGUCGUUGGAACUUCAGGACAAGGUACGCAUCCCCAUCUCCCUCCCUCUCUUUCUCUGCUUACAAAUGCCGCUAAAUUAAGGAAUAUUUGAUGCAAAUCCUGGCUGCGUAAGGAAUUCAAGAAGGAUUUGUAUGAACAAGUCCAGUUUUUUUAGUUAGUACCAAACAGAGAAGAUGCGGUCCAGAUUGGCCAAUUUUGCUGCUACCACAUGGAUUUGUAUCUAUGCAACCAUCUUCCUACUGUUUGUGUUGUUUGGAUUGCAAGAAAUUCAGCUUUGGGUGACCUGCACUUAGUUUAAUUUCUUUGAAUAAUCAACCGUAUUGUUUCUGUAUUGUUUUGCUGCUGUAUUGUUUCUCACUCAUGAUUGAUCUACUGCCAGGUGAAGGUUUUCAAAUGUUGAAGGAGGAGGACAAUAGGAACUUGUGUGAUGCCUUGUCAUCUAUUUUCUUUUCUUUGUUGUAGAAUAGUUCUGUUUGGCACUUACUGGUUGGAUGUAAAGAUAUGUACUGCUAGAAUGAAUGCAUGUAAAGAUAUUUUGGGCUCCUAUAAUAUUUCAUGUUGCUUUGAAAAUGUAUCGGAACUGGGCUAGGCCCAAGAUAACUUGUAGUGUGAUGUGUUGUAAUGUCAAUGGCAUAAUAAAAGAAGUUGGAUUGGAUCAAUUAUUUCGGCCCAGCCCAAGAUAUAUUGAACAAUUAUUUU